GACGAACGCUGGCGGCGUGCUUAACACAUGCAAGUCGAACGGAAAGGCCCUGCUGUUGUGGGGUGCUCGAGUGGCGAACGGGUGGGUAAGACGUGAGUAACCUGCCCUUGACUUUGGGAUAACUUCAGGAAAAUGGGGCUAAUAACGGAUAGGAGCUCCUGCUGCCUGGAGGGGGUUGGAAAGUUCCGGCGGUUGGGGAUGGACUCGCGGCUUACCAGCUUGUUGGGGGGGGAGUGGCUUACCACGGCUUUGACUGGUAGACGGCCUGGGAGGGUGACCGCCCACCAUGGUACUGCGGUACGGCCCAGACUCCAAUGGUGGGCAGCAGGGGUGAAUAUUGCGCAGUGGGCGGAAGCCUGUUGCAGCAACGCCGCGUGCGGGAUGACGGCCUUCCGGUUGUAAACCGCUUUCGCCUGUGACGAAGCGUGAGUGACGGUAAUGGGUAAAGAAGCACCGGCUAACUACGUG
rnacentral:rRNA from 1 species